rnacentral:ncRNA from 1 species
AAAAUAUUUAGAUUUAGUAUAAUAAUUGCUUAUUCCUACUUUUCCACAUGCAACAUAAUGGUUCCUGCUAUUAUUUCAAAUUCAAUAAUAUAACACUUGAUGUAUAUAAAACACAAAUAAGCGGCAGCAGUGAUAAACCCUGAACCACUAGUUAAAGCUAGAUUCGACUAAAUGGUUUACAGAGGAGGUCAACGAUAGGUGCCAGAAACAUCGGUUAAACCUCAUCCUCUAAACAAUUAUUACGGGAGAUAGGUUAAUACAAAAUGAAAGAUAAAAUUAUAAGUAAUUACGUUUAAUGUAAAUUAUUUUAUAAACCUACACUUUCAUAAAAUUCAUGCCUAAUAAAUCAUAGACUCAAACAGGGAUUUGAUAACCCAUUAUCCUAUAUGACAACCAUUUAUACCCCGGGUACUAACUAUUAACAAUCGAAACCCAAAAACCAUGGCGGCCUUUUAAAAUCUCAGGGGAAUCUGCCCUGUAACUAGAUACUCCACUAUAAUACUCACUUAUUUUUGCAUUCGUUAAUUUAAUUACACCACCAGGCAGUGUAUGGUCGCCUUAAGUUUCAUUUUUAAAAGUGUAGCGCAAAAAUCAAAAAUAAUUCAAUAUUAGAUAAUAUUAAGAAUAAGUUCAUUUAAUUUACAAAGACAGAUCAUUAUGCUCCUCAUAAAUAAGAAGAGGUGGAUUACAUUUCUUAACUAAGAUAUAAUAUAAAAGUUAAUAAUAAUUAACUGAAAUAAAGGACUUGACAGUAAUAAAAUUUUAAAAUGAUUUUAUGAAUAUUUACCUAAAAGGUGCACAAAUCGCCCGGCCCUCUACCCAAUCGGGGAGAUAAGCCGUAACAUAGUAGAUGUAACGGAAGUUGUAUCUCCUCCAUU